AUUGAACGCUGGCGGCAUGCCUUACACAUGCAAGUCGAACGGCAGCGCGGGGGCAACCCUGGCGGCGAGUGGCGAACGGGUGAGUAAUAUAUCGGAACGUACCCAAGAGUGGGGGAUAACGUAGCGAAAGUUACGCUAAUACCGCAUACGAUCUAAGGAUGAAAGUGGGGGAUCUUCGGACCUCAUGCUCAUGGAGUGGCCGAUAUCUGAUUAGCUAGUUGGUGAGGUAAAGGCUCACCAAGGCGACGAUCAGUAGCUGGUUUGAGAGAACGACCAGCCACACUGGAACUGAGACACGGUCCAGACUCCUACGGGAGGCAGCAGUGGGGAAUUUUGGACAAUGGGCGCAAGCCUGAUCCAGCCAUGCCGCGUGUGGGAAGAAGGGCCCUUCGGGGUUUGGUUAAACCGAACCUUUUGUUCAGGGAAGAAACGGACGUCUUACUAAUAUUAGGGC
rnacentral:rRNA from 1 species